rnacentral:rRNA from 1 species
CCUACGGGUGGCAGCAGUGAGGAAUCUUGGUCAAUGGGCGCGAGCCUGAACCAGCCAAGUAGCGUGAAGGAUGAAUGCCCUACGGGUUGUAAACUUCUUUUAUAAAGGAAUAAAGUGAGGCACGUGUGCCUUUAUGUAUGUACUUUAUGAAAAAGGAUCGGCUAACUUCGUGCCAGCAGCGGCGGUAAUACGGUGGUUGGGAGGGUUAUCCGGAUUUAUUGGGUUUAAAGGGAGCGUAGAUGGGGUGUUAAGUCAGUUGUGAAAGUUUGCGGCUCAACCGUAGAAGUGCAAUUGAUACUGGGAGUCUUGAGUACAGUUGAGGUAAGCGGAAUUCGUGGUGUAGCGGUGAAAUGCUUAGAUAUCACGAAGAACUCCGGUUGCGAAGGCAGCUUACUAAACUGCCACUGACGUUGAGGCUCGAAAGUGUGGGUAGCAAACAGGAUUAGAUACCCGGGUAGUC